GGGGAUGACGUCAAGUCCUCAGUCGGCCCUUAGUGGGUAGGGCUUCACACGUCAUACAAUGGUCGGUACAGGAGGGUUGCCAACCCGCGAGGGGGAGCUAAUCCCACAAAGCCGAUCGUAGUCCGGAUCGCAGUCUGCAACUCGACUGCGUGAAGUCGGAAUCGCUAGUAAUCGUGGAUCAGCAUGUCACGGUGAAUACGUUCCCGGGUCUU
rnacentral:rRNA from 1 species